rnacentral:rRNA from 1 species
AUCAGCUAGUUGGUAGGGUAACGGCCUACCAAGGCUAAGACGGGUAGCUGGUCUGAGAGGAUGAACAGCCACACUGGAACUGAGACACGGUCCAGACUCCUACGGGAGGCAGCAGUGGGGAAUCUUGCGCAAUGGGCGAAAGCCUGACGCAGCGACGCCGCGUGAGCGAUGAAGGCCUUCGGGUUGUAAACGGCUAACUCUGUGCCAGCAGCCGCGGUAAGACAGAGGGUGCAAACGUUGUUCGGAAUUACUGGGCGUAAAGCGCGUGUAGGCUGUUUGAAAAGUCGGAUGUGAAAUCCCAUGGCUCAACCAUGGAAGUGCAUUCGAAACUGCCAAACUAGAGUUCUGGAGAGGAAGGCGGAGUACUCGGUGUAGAGGUGAAAUUCGUAGAUAUCGAGUGGAACACCGGUGGCGAAGGCGGCCUUCUGGACAGUGACUGACGCUGAAAUGCGAAAGCGUGGGGAGCAAACAGGAUUAGAUACCCUGGUAGUCCACGCCGUAAACGAUGGGUGCUAGGUGUCGCGGGCUUUGACCCUCGCGGUGCCGUAGCUAACGCGUUAAGCACCCCGCCUGGGGAGUACGGCCGCAAG